CAACAGUCUAUUUUAGCCCCGUUGUCACCGGAGACGGAUGGUGUCUCAACGCCCCGAGGACAAUGGUGCACACACACACACACACACACGCACACGCACACACACUUUGUGCACUUUGACUCUUGUGAGGUUCCUCUCUUUGUGGAGGAACAGUGCAGAGCGCCAGUUGUUAUUCACCGAGUCAGCGUUUCACUCACGAUGGACGGUCUAAAUAAAGAAAAGGAUUCUUCCUUUAAACCCUUAAACCUCUCAUCUUCCCUCUCUAGCUGCCUAAUGAAGGCUCCUUGGCGCUGGUCGUGGUCCUCAUCGUGCUGCAGGGCAUCACUGGCAUUUCCUUCGGCCUCGUCAUCUCAGCCGCCAUCGACGACGAGCAGAGCGCCAACCAGGCCGCCCUCGGAAUCUUCUACCCCAACCUCAUCCUCAGCGGUAUCAUCUGGCCGGUGGAGUGUGUCCCGUAUCCUCUCCGCUACGUCAGCAUGGCUCUUCCUCAGACCUACGCCUCCGAAGCCCUUCGCUGCAUCAUGUACAGAGGUUGGGGUCUGUCCCAGAUGAUGGUGUGGCGAGGCUUCGCCGUUACCUUGGGCUGGAACACCUUCUUCCUCGUGCUGGCCACGGUCAUCCUGAAGCUCAGGACGUGACGGCGCUCUCUCCGCCUCCCUCGGGCCUCCCGCCUGCCGACGAGUUGCCAAGCAGCGGCUGCACGUCAAAGCACAGGAGGCCGAAUACGUACAUGCACAAGGUGAAAGUAUGUGUUGGACACCUCGUGUUCAAUGAGGAACCUGUUUUGUUUCUAUGUGCAGCUUGUCGGAACUUUUCGCCCUCAGAAAUGCACCAGCUCAGGGUCACGUGCUUCCAUGCGCCGGCCCCUCCCUUCAUGCGCUUUGAGCGUAAACUACAACUCUACUGUACAUCUGCAUUAUAGAGACGUUGUAUGUACGUAUGAAUAUGAGUCUGAGCACAAAACAUGUUGUUGUCUCCAAGAAAAUGUGAAAUAAUAUGUCAUCGGUUUGCUUCACGUUGUUGUUGCUUUGCGUCCUGUGAACCAGUAAAGCGUUUAAAAGUACGGACCUCUGCAAAUGGUCAAAGACGUUCUCCUCGUCAUCGUUUUUCAGUUCAGGCUGAUGGCGUCCUGCCUAACUCGUGUUUGUUGCCUGCUGGACUGCUGGGUGGUUGGAUUUGCUGGCGUGAGUGCAGGCUGCUCUUCUCACAGCUGAAGCUCUUCAAGCCGUCUGAUAAAUACGUUCUUUAUUUUCAAAACUUUGUUGGCAUAAAGCACACAGGAGGAGUUCUGUUCAGGAUGCACAGUCCAGUAAGGAGGAGUAACACGCACUCCUAACAAUAAAGCUGCUCAACAAGAACCCUUUAGGUUCUUUGGUUCUCAGUUGGUUCCACCUUUAUAGCUAGAGCCACCUGUGAGAGGCUCCAACCAGAACCCUGUUUCAGAUUGUAAGUUAUCUACUCCUGUUGCAUUGGAGGUACAAUCUGCAUAUCUCUAAAUCGAGGGGCUCCCUGUCCUGUUCGUCUGCGCCCAGCAGCCAGUAGGCCUGCUGCUUCUACAGCCGAAGAAGCAGCAGAUUUAGCAUCACACGUUGUGCCAUAAAAAAAGGGGUUUGUAUGCCUUUACAUUAAUCUGCACGCACGCCAAGCACACUGGAACAUUUCGUUAAUGCGUUUAAGUCGGAGGAAUCAAACGCUUACACCAGCAUAUGUUCCAAAGUGUUUGUAUUACAUAUUGUUUAUAUCAAGGCGCUGAUUUGCUCUGUGUUUCCCUCAAUGGGAGAAACGGAGGCUCUGCGCUGGAUGACGUCGUGGUCUCGCGCUGGCGUUAAAGGGUGAAUGUGUGCGUUUUAAGGGACGUUGUGUUGUUUGGGAUAAAUAUGUGAGGAUGUUAUGAGGUUUUUUUUAUCUGAGCGAGUUCUUUGUGCCCAACUCGACUCCCCAUGAAGUGCAAUCUCAGCGCUUACGCCAACGUAUGCACAAGAUUUGGUAAUAUUGUGAGUAACCUUUUUAGUUUUCUCUGGGUAUGUAAUCUCUGCAUGUUUUUGCGAAUUUGCUUCAAAACCUACAAAACUGACUCACUUUGAUGUAAAAACAUCCUGUGGAAAUGAUUUUAAAGAUGUACAUGAACUGCAAUUAUACUACUGACACAGUAUUUCAAAAUAAAUCUAAUUACAUUCUUUUUAAACAAAACAAAAGAGAACAGAACAGAAAUGUAUCAUACCAACAGCUGAAUGAGGAUUUCGGUGUUUAAUUGGAAUUGUGAAACUUGAAUAAACGACAUGAGAACUG